rnacentral:rRNA from 1 species
GACGAACGCUGGCGGCGUGCUUAACACAUGCAAGUCGAACGAUGAACUUGGAGCUUGCUCUGGGGGAUUAGUGGCGAACGGGUGAGUAACACGUAAGUAACCUGCCCUGGACUCUGGAAUAACUUCGAGAAAUCGGAGCUAAUACCGGAUAGGACCUUUCACCGCAGGGUGUGGGGUGGAAAGUUUUUCGGUUUGGGAUGGACUCGGGGCCUAUCAGCUUGUUGGUGAGGUAAUGGCUCACCAAGGCGUCGACGGGUAGCCGGCCUGAGAGGGUGACCGGCCACACUGGGACUGAGACACGGCCCAGACUCCUACGGGAGGCAGCAGUGGGGAAUAUUGCACAAUGGGCGCAAGCCUGAUGCAGCAACGCCGCGUGCGGGAUGACGGCCUUCGGGUUGUAAACCGCUUUUAGUAGGGAAGAAGCCUUCGGGUGACGGUACCUGCAGAAAAAGGACCGGCUAACUACGUGCCAGCAGCCGCGGUAACAC